UACGUAGGGUGCGAGCGUUGUCCGGAAUUAUUGGGCGUAAAGGGCUCGUAGGCGGUCUGUCGCGUCGGGAGUGAAAACUCAGGGCUUAACCCUGAGCCUGCUUCCGAUACGGGCAGACUAGAGGUAUGCAGGGGAGAACGGAAUUCCUGGUGUAGCGGUGAAAUGCGCAGAUAUCAGGAGGAACACCGGUGGCGAAGGCGGUUCUCUGGGCAUUACCUGACGCUGAGGAGCGAAUGGG
rnacentral:rRNA from 1 species